rnacentral:tRNA from 4 species
AGGUGAUUAGCUCAGUUUGGCAGAGCAUCUCCCUUACAAGGAGAGGGUCGGCGGUUCGAUUCCGCCAUCACCUA